AGAGUGAGGGACGGUGUGACUAGUGACAGAGAGAGGGAGGGGGUGACUAGUGACAGAGUGAGGGAGGUUGUGAUUAGUGACAGAGGGAGGGAUGAGGUGACUAGUGACAGUCACCACCUCCUUCACUCUGUCACUAGUCACCCCCUUCCUCACUCUGUCAUUGUGUCACCCCCUUCCUCACUCUGUCAUUGUGUCACCCCCUUUCUCACUCU